AACGAACGCUGGCGGCAGGCCUAACACAUGCAAGUCGAGCGCCCCGCAAGGGGAGCGGCGGACGGGUGAGUAACGCGUGGGAAUAUGCCCUUUGCUACGGAAUAGUCUCGGGAAACUGGGGGUAAUACCGUAUACGCCCUUUGGGGGAAAGAUUUAUCGGCGAAGGAUUAGCCCGCGUUGGAUUAGGUAGUUGGUGGGGUAAUGGCCUACCAAGCCGACGAUCCAUAGCUGGUUUGAGAGGAUGAUCAGCCACACUGGGACUGAGACACGGCCCAGACUCCUACGGGAGCCAGCAGUGGGGAGUCGUAGAGAAUGGUGGCAGCCCUGAACUACCCAUGCAGCGGGAAAGAUAACGGCCUUAGCGUUGAAAAGCGCCUUCAGCUGGGAAGAUAAUGAAGGUACCAGCAGAAGGAGACGCGACUAACUCAGU
rnacentral:rRNA from 1 species